rnacentral:rRNA from 1 species
AUUGAACGCUGGCGGCAGGCCUAACACAUGCAAGUCGAACGAGUGGCGGACGGGUGAGUAAUGUCUGGGAAACUGCCUGAUGGAGGGGGAUAACUACUGGGAACGGUAGCUAAUACCGCAUCCCAUCGGAUGUGCCCAGAUGGGCUUAGCUUGUUGGUGGGGUAACGGCUCACCAAGGCGACGAUACCUAGCUGGUCUGAGAGGCUGACCAGCCAAACUGGAAUUGAGCACGGGUCCAGACUCCUACGGGAGGAAGAAGUGGGAAAUAUUGCAAAAUGGGCGCAAGCGUGAUGCAGCCAUGCCGCGGGUAUGAAGCAGGCCUUCGGGUUGUAAAGUACUUUCAGCGGGGAGGCGUUACCCGCAGAAGAAGCACCGGCUAACUCCGUGCCAGCAGCCGCGGUAAUUC